rnacentral:lncRNA from 1 species
AUUAUCAUACAUACAUUAUUGCUAGUGGUUCCGCCUUAAUAAUAUAUAUCUCCAAUCUCCAAUCUCCAAUCUCCAAUUUGUUACUACUCAAAUCUCCCAAGCUGCAUAACACUAUUACCAGUUGUAGUCAUCAUGUUGGGCAACAGACCUCGCCCGGUGAUCGGAAAAUUAUCGGCUUUAUUGGUUUCCGGCAACCGUGCCGGGUUUUCGGACGUGGGCACAAGCCCGAGAGGUCCACUGGACUUAAAAAUUCAGUCACCGAGAUGUGGUCUAAGAUGUUAUGAUGCAGGUGGGGUUGGGUUGGGCAUAGUGGCAGCACUAGAAAAGUCUAAUACCGCUUGUGG